AAAAGAUUUAAAAAUACGUUACAAACUUAUUUUUAAUCAAAACAAUCAAUGAAUAUUUUUUUUAAAAAAAGAAAAACCUCACAAGCUAUUUUUUAAAAAUAUAAAAUUACACAACUUAAUUCGAAUUUUUCUAAUCUGUGUACCUUCUCACAAAACCCUAGCUCUAUUUUCCCUCUCUCAUAACCGACGCUCCACCGGUCGCACGCCGUCGCAGCACCUCUACAAGAACAAUCAGACCAUGACAGCACCUCCACUAGCAACGUUUCUAUAUGAUUCUCAGAGUUUUGGACAACUCGAAUAGAUUUCAUUAAAGCAUUGUCCAAAUGAAGUGUUUGUUCACUUAUCUCCUCUGCCAAAUGUUGGGAUAUGGUUCAGAGAGAGCGAACCAAGAAAUAGCAAAGCAACAUAGGUUGGAAAAGCGAAAACUUCCGCCUUUGCAACCACCUGGAAGUGUUGAUGGCUUGAAAAUGUUUGGUUUUAUUACAACAGCAAUUACACAGGUCCUUUCACGUAUAUUCUUGAAAUUAAUAUUUGAUCCAGGAUGAGGAUGAGGAUCAUGUGGAAAACACAUCAUCACAUUAUUGAAGUUUAGUUGUUGAAUUAGAUAAAAUAAAUUAUGUACUCUAUGAUGAUUUAUAAGAAUUAGCAAGGGUUUUUGUAAAUGUAUGAGAACUUUGGAGUAGUUUGAAAUAGAAUUGUGUAACUUAUGAUUUUAUGUCUUUAUUCAAUUUUGAAGUAAUUUAAAGUUGAUUUGGCUGUAGUGUGGAUUCAAGGA